UAGUUCGUAGCUCAACUGGACAAGAGUAUCCGGCUUUUACCCGAAGGGUUGUGCGUUCGAGUUGCACCGGACUAACAA
rnacentral:tRNA from 1 species